UUGCAACAGCAAGCAUGGACUUUGCAGACAGAAAGACUUGGGUUUGAAUCCCAGCUCUGUCACCAUCCGACUGUGUGAUAUGGGGUUUUGCAGGCUCAUCCUUGGGGCCAGGACUAUAGAGAGGCAAGUGACCAGACGCCGAAGACAAAAAUUCCUCCAGGUUCAAACUUGCCCUACCCUGCUUCGAUGCAUAAGCAGUUGACUCAAUAAAGAUGUGUCUCUGACCCAG
rnacentral:lncRNA from 1 species